rnacentral:lncRNA from 1 species
UUGAGUGGUGAUUUUAUGCAAUGGCUUCAAGCCACAGAUCUUCUCCAGUGCCUCAAGGAAGCAGCAGUGACGUUUUCUUUAAAAAAGAGGUAGAUCCAGCAAAACACAUUCGACCUGUGCAGUCACUGCCAGAUGUGUGUCCUAAGGAACCCACAGGUGAUUCAAAUAGUUUAUGUGUUGCCCCAUCUCUAGUUACAGAUCAACAUAGAUGGACUGUAUAUCAUUCCAAAGUAAACCUCCCAGCAGCAUUAAAUGAUCCUACAUUAGCAAAAAGAGAAUCUGACUUCUUCACAAAAACAUGGGGAUUGGACUUUGUGGACACUGAAGUCAUACCUUCAUUCUACCUCCCACAGAUCAGCAAGGAACAUUUUAUAGCAUAUCAACAGGAAAUCUCUCAGAGAGAGAAGAUCCAUGAGAGAUGCAAGAAUAUUUGUCCUCCUAAAGAUACCUUUGACAGGACUCUUUUACAUAUUCAUGAUAAAUCCAGGACAGAUCUGGAACAAGUACCUAAGGUUUGUUUAUUUAAUGUUAUGUGUUUGCGUGUUUUUCUGGCAUUAUGUAUGUGUACCACAUGUGUACCUGGUGACUGUGGCGAUCAGAAGAUGACAUAUAGAAGAUAGAAGAUGACCCCUGGACUGGACUUAUAGAUGGUUGUUAACUUCCAUAUGUGUGCUGGGAACCAGACCCAGGUUCUCUGCAAGAGCAAUAAGUGCUGAGCCAUCUCCCUAACCCCAUUUUUCUAUCUUUUAUGAGCAUUUGAACUUG